UGCAAAAACAAACUUUGGUCGCAAAACAUGUCAAAGUAUGCUCAAAACAUUUUGUAUCUGAAUAUUAUGUACAAAAAAGUCAUUGCAAUAAAUCUCAAGUUAUUAAAGUCAGUGAACAAAUAAGUACUGACAAUUCGUUGACUGGAGUGGAAGAUGUUAGUGUCUUGAACCAACAUGAAACAACAAGUGAACUUAGCUGAGAAUGAUGGUAGUUUCAAAAUAACGCAGCAUUUGCUAGGAUUGUUCUUAGGUCACAAAAACAAUCUUACAAAUAGAGUUUCUGCUGUUGUCACUGGUUUUAGAGAGUACCUUCGUGAAUGAAGAUAAAAAGUCAUUUAUGUUAUUUUUUAAAAGCCAAGACAUAAUAUUGUUAAUCCUCAUACCAUUUAC